ensembl:snoRNA U3 Small nucleolar RNA U3
AACACUAUACUUUAAGGGAUCAUUUCUAUAGUAUGUUACCAGAGGGUUAAAGAGUCAGAAAGCUAUCAAGAGAGGGGAUGGGAUACAGAGUUCUG